CUUGUCUUCCGGGAUGGACUGGAGAUCUGUGUGACCAACCCCAGGGCUCCGGUUGUAAUAAACAGUGCUAUAACGGCGGGGUCCUGAACCAGAAUACGUGUGAAUGUAUAUGUCCGCCCGGAUGUGAUGGAGCCUUAUGUCAAUUUGUAAAUGAUAUAUGCCAUCGAACGUGUCAAAAUGGCGGAACCUUCGUUCCCGUUUUGUGCAAGUGUCAUUGUCCCAGAGAAUACACGGGGGAACUUUGUGAAAAC